GAACAAUGUAGGUAAGGGAAGUCGGCAAACUAGAUCCGUAACUUCGGGAAAAGGAUUGGCUCUAGGGGCUCGGUCGGGCUGAGGUACGAAGCGGGGCGCGGCGCUGUACCGGACUGGGCGAACGACGGCCUCCCUCGCGGCCGGCUGGCGUGAGCCUGGACCUGUGUCGGCGUCUUCCCGUGGAAUGCCGCAGCUAACUAUAUAAUAUUUUAGCACGCAGCAAGUUUCGAACUCAAAACAUUUCAACUUCUGGAUGCUUCAAUCGAUAGAAAAAACUGGUUGUGAAAAAGUUCAUACUAGUCUUGCAAUAAAUGACCAUGUUUUAAUGGUAUCUAUAUAUCAGUGUAGAAACCGGAUAGCCGUAUAUUGUCCGACCUGUUAGUCUUGCGGUUUAGUGCGACGCUUUUCAACCGAAAGGUUAUAGGUUCGAUAACUGGUCACUAGCUAUCCAUUUAUGUUCUUUG
rnacentral:ncRNA from 1 species